rnacentral:rRNA from 1 species
CCUACGGUGGUCUGCAGUGCGGAAUAUUGGUCAAUGGGCGCGAGCCUGAACCAUCCAAGCAGCGUGAAGGAUGAAUGCUCUACGGGUUGUAAACUUCUUUUAUAAAGGAAUUAAGUGAGGCACGUGCGCCUUUUUGCAUGUCCUUUAUGAAUCCGGAGCGGCUAACUACGCGUCAGCAGCCGCGGUAAUACGGCGGUUCCGAGCGUUAUCCGGAUUUAUUGGGUUUAACGGGAGCGUAGAUGUGUUGUUAAGUCAGAUGUGAAAGUUUGCGGCUCAACCGAAAAAUUGCAAUUGAUACUGGUAGUCUUGAGUACAGUAGAGGUAGGCGGAAUGCGUGGUGUAGCGGUGAAAUGCGUAGAUAUCACGAGGAACACCGAUUGCGAAGGCAGCUUACUAAGCUGCCACUGACAUUGAGGCUCGAAAGUGUGGGUAUCAAACAGGAUUAGAUACCCUAGUAGUC